rnacentral:lncRNA from 1 species
AUGCUGUUAAGAGACACCGGAUUUGGGUAGGAGUUAGUUUGCAGGAGUCUGAGCGUGACCGCCUGCGGCCUGCUUAGCUUAGAAUGAUGCGGCGGGAAGACCCUUCUCGCUAAGUAAAAGAAUUUAGUGACUUCAUUGUGCGUGAUAGGCGAGUCCCUGUGGUCGGGAGGAGAGUCGUCCGAUCCGAGGGCAGCGCGGUCGGUAAAGCCACGCGCAGCCUCGUGGGCAGACUCGUUGAGGUUCAGAGGAACCCCCUCGACCACCCCGACGUGGGCAGGGAACCAAAAGAUGGAGUGUGUGCAGCUGUCGCCUUGUUUGGCGCAUUUCAGAAUUUGAACUACCUGCCGGGCUACCCGGCCUUUCUGGAAUGCCCUGACGGCCACUUUCGAAUCGCUAUACACCAUAUCUCUCCGACCGUCUUGCAUGGCGAGUGCAAUGGCAACCUGCUCGGCCACCUCGGGUUCCGUCGUCCGAACUGAGGCACAGUUGAUGACUUUGCCCAAGUUGUCAACGUCGGAAAC